rnacentral:rRNA from 1 species
UACGUAGGGUGCAAGCGUUAAUCGGAAUUACUGGGCGUAAAGCGUACGCAGGCGGUUUUGUAAGUCUGUCGUGAAAUCCCCGGGCUCAACCUGGGAAUUGCGAUGGAGACUGCAAGGCUAGAAUCUGGCAGAGGGGGGUAGAAUUCCACGUGUAGCAGUGAAAUGCGUAGAGAUGUGGAGGAACACCGAUGGCGAAGGCAGCCCCCUGGGUCAAGAUUGACGCUCAUGCACGAA